UGAAUCUUCGAGAGGAGCUGCUGC
rnacentral:piRNA from 1 species